rnacentral:rRNA from 1 species
UCACACUGUCAAGAAAAGCUUCUAUCGAGUUUAAAGGCGCCCGUACCGUAAACCGACACAGGUGGGUGAGGAGAGUAUCCUAAGGCCAGCGAGAGAACUAUUGUUAAGGAACUCGGCAAAAUGACCCCGUAACUUAGGGAGAAGGGGUGCCUGUCUAUGACAGGCCGCAGAGAAUAGGCCCAAGCGACUGUUUACCAAAAACACAGGUUUCUGCUAAGUCGCAAGACGAUGUAUAGGAGCUGACGCCUGCCCGGUGCUGGAAGGUUAAGGGGAUCUGUUAGAGCAAUCGAAGCAGUGAACUUAAGCCCCAGUAAACGGCGGCCGUAACAAUAACGGUCCUAAGGUAGCGAAAUUCCUUGUCGGGUAAGUUCCGACCCGCACGAAAGGCGUAACGAUUUGGGCACUGUCUCAACAAUAGACUCGGUGAAAUUGUAAUCCCGGUGAAGAUGCCGGGUACCUGCGACAGGACGGAAAGACCCCAUGGAGCUUUACUGUAGCUUGACGUUGGGUCUUGGUACUACAUGUACAGGAUAGGUGGGAGACUAUAAAGCAUGGACGCCAGUCUGUGUGGAGUCAUCCUUGGGAUACCACCCUUGUAGUACUGGGAUCCUAACCAUAGGCCUUGAAUCAGGUCUUGGAACACCGUCAGGUGGGCAGUUUGACUGGGGCGGUCGCCUCCUAAAAAGUAACGGAGGCGCUCAAAGGUUUCCUCAGCACGGUCGGAAAUCGUGCGAAGAGUGUAAAGGCAAAAGGAAGCUUGAUUGCAGGACAUACAGGUCGAGCAAGGACGGAAGUCGGACUUAGUGAUCCGGUGGUACCGCAUGGAAGGGCCAUCGCUCAACGGAUAAAAGCUACCCUGGGGAUAACAGGCUUAUCUCCCCCAAGAGUCCACAUCGACGGGGAGGUUUGGCACCUCGAUGUCGGCUCAUCACAUCCUGGGGCUGUAGUAGGUCCCAAGGGUUGGGCUGUUCGCCCAUUAAAGUGGUACGCGAGCUGGGUUCAGAACGUCGUGAGACAGUUCGGUCCCUAUCCGUCGCAGGCGUAGGAAAUUUGAGAAGACCUGUCCUUAGUACGAGAGGACCGGGAUGGACGUACCUCUGGUGUACCAGUUGUUCUGCCAAGGGCAUGGCUGGGUAGCUAUGUGCGGAAUGGAUAAGCGCUGAAAGCAUCUAAGCGCGAAGCCAACUUCAAGAUAAGAUUUCCCACCGUAAGGGUAAGACCCCAGGAAGGCUACCUGGUUGAUAGGUCGAAGGUGUAAGUGCAGUAAUGUAUUUAGCUUAUCGAUACUAAUAGGUCGAGGACUUGACC